ensembl:lncRNA
UGUGUCUAUGCGCGCCUUCUUGUUCCCCGAAAACACGUGACACUCACUGAGCGUGGCGGCUCCUUGACUUCCUCAUCUAACGGUCUCCAGUCUACUAUGGAUGAGGAGAAAGAGGAAGGGGGUCCUACCUCUAAGACCACUCUGUCUGGGGAACAUGGCCGCCAGAGCAAAGCUAAGAGCCCAGAGCAGCAGGAGAGAGCAGACUCCCCUGGACCCAGCUGUGUCUCCAUGAAGAGUGAUCACUAUAUGGAGAUGAUGCACACGUGUGAAUGUAAGCAUUGUCUUCAGAGAGUACAUCAAAAUGGGAGUAGACUGGACUCUCUUACUGGUGUGACACAUCAGAUGGGAAUGGACUGGACUCACUCACUGGUGCCACAUGGCAAAUAACAUCUAGGCUAAAGGUGAUCAGCUGUUUUCCACUAUUAAAGUAUCUAUAUGAUAUGUAGGCCUAAUAAUAAUCAUAGUUUAACAUAAAAUGUAAGGUUAAUUUCUACCACAUAUGUUGUGUAAGAAACCCGAUAUAAUAAUAUAUCUACCAUCUUUGUCCACUAUUUCUUGGGUUAACCUAAAGUUUAGCUAUUAAAGUACGGACACCUCUAGAGGCCCCUGUACCCGGUGCUGAAAAAACCUGACCGACCCAUCUCUGUCUUAACUUAACAGCUUCUGUAUUCUUUAAAUGUGUCUCCUGUAACAUUGCCACAUCACUUUCCAUGGAUUUCAAAUGUGUUAUUAUUUUAUAUCUCUUUGUUUUAUUGGAAAUACCUUUUACAUUCCAACGCAGUAGUUCAAUAGUGGUCAUAAUAUCUUUUUCUACAUUGAAAAACUUUACCCAUUAAUUUGCUGACAGGAGCAGAAAAUAAUUAAGAAUAGAAUUAACAAAAAUUUGCCCUGGAAUUAUAAAGGGUCUGCACGCACAUGGAUGGGGGAAAGCAACUAACAUACAAAGAGAUUGCCAAAAGGCAGAUGCACACAUAACAAAAAGGAGAACAAAUCUUAGUCCAUUCCCUGUCCGUGAACAGCAGCAGUAAAGCAGCG